GACUUAAAAGCAACUGUUAUUUAUUUUUCUCCUCAGAUUAGGAUAAAAAACAUCAGUUCCUCUCUUUUUUUUCUCCUUAAUUUAAUUAUCAAAAGCAUCAGCUCUAAAUGUGCUAGAUGAUACAAUAACGGGCACCAGAAAUCAGGGAUGAGAUAUCAACAGCCUGCAAUUCUCUGAGCUGGAAUCCUGCAUGCAGUUACAAAUUCAUGUCCACCAUGCCACAUCAAGAACUUUUGGAGCUAGUGUUGUUAGAUAGCCUGGCACUCAAAGAGGAAAAAUGGUUACGAGGUUAUAUUGAGAUUAUAAGGUUGUAUCCGACUUAAUUUUAGCAGAUACGCUGAUUCCUACUCCCUCCAUUUUCUUUAGUAUAUAAUGCCGUUGAUUUUUAGACAUAUAUUUGAUCAUUCAUGUUAUUUAGAAAAUAUGCUAACAUCAUUUAUUUUAUUAUUAAAGUUACUUUAAAUACAGUUUAUAUUUUUGCAUAUUAGCAUAUUUGUUUUAAAUAAGACGAAUGGACAUAUAUGUUUAAAAGUAAACAAUACUAUGUAUUUAAAAUGGAGAUAGUAUUAAAGAGUAUGUUCAUGCAAGGUUCAGAUAACCUUGUCUGUGGAUUUAUUACAACCGGGAAAAAACAGCAAUAAUUUCUAUAUUCAUGGAACUGAUUAAAAACUCUCAAUCUAAGGAUAACCAGCUUAAACCUGCAAAUUGAACUGAAAUUUACAAUUAUAAUCUAACCCGAUUUUACGCCAUACACUUCAUAUCCAAUUAAUAUGCCGCUUUACACAUAUACAUACUGAAGCAUAUGUGGUAUACAGUAUACUUCAUAUGUACUAAAAAAACAUUUUCAAAGAAAUAUUCAGGAAUUUAAUUUAUUUAGGAUUAGAAAGGGAAAACAUUAUUAGGUAUUUCAUAUUUGAGACCACUUUAACUCAAGAGGAAAUAUAACAUUUUUAGCACAAUGAAAAUAUGCACGGUUGAAGAAGGACACCCAGCCACCAAACAAAUAAUUCAGUUGUUGUGGGAGUGAAUGAAAUACUUAAAGGGAGGUGUAGGAUCAUCCAACUUCAAUUAUCCUACCUGAAACUAAACAGAAAGUACAUACACAUUAAAUUCUCUUGGAUCCAAAACAGAGCAAAUGAAUACAAAUAAAAUAUCAACUACAACACAGUAAUAUGCGCAAGAUCAGCAAAUAAAAUCAUGAAUUUAGUGAUUAAACAUGCAAAGAGAUGUACAGUGGUUACCAUAGCCUUAAGAGCAAAUAGAAUGGCAAAUUAUACCAAACUUAAUCAGCAAUACAAUAUGAAAUUGACGGAUCAAACAUUGGUGGGUAUACGUUCUAACUUGAUUAAGAUACAAAAUUUAUCUUGGUUUUUGUUAGCACGUUUUUUAAACUGAUAAACGGUACAUUUUAUGCGGAAAUUUUUAUAUGGAAGUUGUUUUUAGAAAUAUCAAAUAAAUAUGUUUUCCAAGUUUGUAAUAAUUAUAACCCAAUUAAUCAUACGCUAACGACUUUCUGGUUUUACAUACCUGCACUUCAUCUUCGUCUUGAACAGACUCAAACACAACUUUGAAAACAAGAAACGAGUUGGCGAAAGAAUACAACAAUGCAC
rnacentral:lncRNA from 1 species